rnacentral:lncRNA from 1 species
AUCUGGGUCUUAAAUAUUUUACUCCAAAUUCGGAUCCGAAAAUUUAAAGAGUAGUCCAUAUUCAUCGGGUCCAAUUUUUAGAAGGUCCGAAUUCAGAAGAAAAAAAAAAGGAAAAAGAAAGAAAGAUAUGGAUCUGUGGAUUUGAAUCGGAUCCUGAAUUCAUUGUCAUCCCUACUCUCACGCAUUCACUCUCUUCUUCAUCUUCCACACGUUCUCC